AACGAACGCUGGCGGCACGCCUAACACAUGCAAGUCGAGCGCACCCUUCGGGGUGAGCGGCGGACGGGUUAGUAACGCGUGGGAAUAUACCCGACACUAAGGAAUAGCCACUGGAAACGGUGAGUAAUACCUUAUACGCCCUUCGGGGGAAAGAUUUAUCGGUGAAGGAUUGGCCCGCGUUAGAUUAGAUAGUUGGUGGGGUAACGGCCUACCAAGUCGACGAUCUAUAGCUGGUUUGAGAGGAUGAUCAGCAACACUGGGACUGAGACACGGCCCAGACUCCUACGGGAGGCAGCAGUGGGGAAUCUUAGACAAUGGGCGCAAGCCUGAUCUAGCGAUGCCGCGUGAGUGAUGAAGGCCUUAGGGUCGUAAAGCUCUUUCACCAGGGAUGAUAAUGACAGUACCAGGAAAAGAAACCCCGGCUAACUCCGUGCCAGCAGCCGCGGUAAUACGGAGGGGGUUAGCGUUGUUCGGAAUUACUGGGCGUAAAGCGUACGUAGGCGGAUUAGUAAGUUAGGGGUGAAAUCCCGGGGCUCAACCCCGGAACUGCCUUUAAUACUGCUAGUCUUGAGUUCGAGAGAGGUGAGUGGAAUUCCGAGUGUAGAGGUGAAAUUCGUAGAUAUUCGGAGGAACACCAGUGGCGAAGGCGGCUCACUGGCUCGAUACUGACGCUGAGGUACGAAAGUGUGGGGAGCAAACAGGAUUAGAUACCCUGGUAGUCCACACCGUAAACGAUGAAUGCCAGUCGUCAGCAAGCAUGCUUGUUGGUGACACACCUAACGGAUUAAGCAUUCCGCCUG
rnacentral:rRNA from 1 species